UACGUAGGGGGCAAGCGUUGUCCGGAGUUUAUUGGGCGUUAAAGAGCGUGUAGGCGGCUUUGCAAGUCCGUUGUGAAAACUCGAGGCUCAACCUCGAGACGCCGGUGGAAACUGCAAAGCUAGAGUCCGGAAGAGGAGAGUGGAAUUCCUGGUGUAGCGGUGAAAUGCGCAGAUAUCAGGAAGAACACCCGUGGCGAAGGCGGCUCUCUGGGACGGUACUGACGCUGAGACGCGAAAGCGUGGGGAGCGAACAGG
rnacentral:rRNA from 1 species